rnacentral:lncRNA from 1 species
CAAAGGUCCCAUGAGCAUAUUUCAGUGGAGUUUCAUGGAAGAAUGGAGCUUUCAGAGACAGGAGGAGCUCUUGUGAAUUUUUUGAAAAUAGGUGUCUGGGCACUUCUUCUGUGAGGAGCUGGACUGAGCAUGGUCCCUGCGAGAUGCCACAGACUCUGCAGGGGAAAGAAGAGUACCAACAGCCUGGCGAGGGAAAGGCUUUGCCCCAAGCUUGGAUCCUCUUAGCCAUAGGAGAACCUGACCGUGAGACUUGAAGCCACAGGGACCCAUGCUACCUUGUUUUCCCGGCUCACAGAGCUCCUCAAGUCUUUACCUUGUGGUUUCUGAACCACUGGGAUUCACGUUCUCCAGCGUGAGGCAUAGAAAGCCAAGAUUCUCGUGUGCUGCCCUGGUGCUAGGACUUGGCCUUUAAGAAAAACGCUGAAUUUCGUAUUACUUCCUUGUGGGCUGGCCACACAGGGAGGUAACAGCCGUGUCAUAUUUGCGGAUGUAUCAGAGCUUGCGUUCAUGACUGGCGUGGGGGCGACGUUGGUUUUUGGCUCCUGGCUGGGCUGUACACCCAUAUCACGCUCUGCCUGGUCAGCUCCAGCCUUCUGUUUGUGCUUCCCAAGGCCAGAAGCGGGGCAAAGUCCAGGAUCCCCAGUUCCUCUGUCUAGAAAAGAGGUUUGGUGCUCUGUAAAUGCAAGACUGCUGGUGAUGAGAGAGACUGACGCUUUGCCCCAAGGCGUACGGAGCAGCCACAGCUCCAGCAGCCCUGAAAAUCAGGCCCAGUUAUCCUGGCUAAAGGGAUCCUUGUGGGAACAGCUGAGACAUCUAAGGAGCAAUGGUCAUCAGCAAGCUGUAUCAGUGAGCCGGCUGUGUGCUGGUCUUUUUAUCCAUCAUAUAUGCUCAGCACGAGCUCGUGGGACAGAAGUGGGAUCUGGAUGGUGGAUUCUUCGAGGGCUGGAGGAUCUGAUAUGGCUCUGAGGCCAAGGAGAACAACUGCAAGCGCUUAGAGCCACUGGAGAAGCCAGCGUCUGCUUCAGUCAUCCGGAGGAUGUUUGGUGAUGAGGCAUAUGGAUGCCCUGAGGACAUGACAUUGUUUGUCCAGGGCCCUCCCCAUUCCCAGCAGAACAGGCUGGUGUUUGUCACGGGGAGAAAAAAACAGCCUCUAGUUGGAAUAACUCCCGAUUUAAGGUCCUGCGUGAGGCUGAUCUGCUUUUACGGCUCUCCAGGGAAAUGACGCUGCUAACCCUUUUUUAUUGGGUGGCCUAUUUUUAAUCAGCUCAGUGAUAAAAACGCAUUGGCUGGUCAUGGCUGCCAGAGGAGUUUCCAUUUUCAGCCUCCCCAGGUGCUGUUGGAGCCCAGCGCCGAUUCCUCAGAGGGUUAAAGCGAGCGGGUCAUUGCGACGUAGCCUUUCGCAGGCACUGCCAAGGAACGUCAACUGUCCCUUUGCACCCCGCGCCUGGGGGAUAGUAAAUCUGUACACAAACAUUAGGCCUUCCUGAAAAGUCUGACAUAGCAGGGAGAAAAUAAAAGCUGGAGGGUUUUAUUAUCUUUCUCCUUA